rnacentral:rRNA from 1 species
AGAGUUUGAUCCUGGCUCAGAUUGAACGCUGGCGGCAUGCUUUACACAUGCAAGUCGGACGGCAGCACAGAGAAGCUUGCUUCUUGGGUGGCGAGUGGCGAACGGGUGAGUAACAUAUCGGAACGUACCGAGUAGUGGGGGAUAACUGAUCGAAAGAUCAGCUAAUACCGCAUACGUCUUGAGAGGGAAAGCAGGGGACCUUCGGGCCUUGCGCUAUUCGAGCGGCCGAUAUCUGAUUAGCUAGUUGGUGGGGUAAAGGCCUACCAAGGCGACGAUCAGUAGCGGGUCUGAGAGGAUGAUCCGCCACACUGGGACUGAGACACGGCCCAGACUCCUACGGGAGGCAGCAGUGGGGAAUUUUGGACAAUGGGCGCAAGCCUGAUCCAGCCAUGCCGCGUGUCUGAAGAAGGCCUUCGGGUUGUAAAGGACUUUUGUCAGGGAAGAAAAGGCUGUUGCUAAUAUCAGCGGCUGAUGACGGUACCUGAAGAAUAAGCACCGGCUAACUACGUGCCAGCAGCCGCGGUAAUACGUAGGGUGCGAGCGUUAAUCGGAAUUACUGGGCGUAAAGCGGGCGCAGACGGUUACUUAAGCAGGAUGUGAAAUCCCCGGGCUCAACCCGGGAACUGCGUUCUGAACUGGGUGACUCGAGUGUGUCAGAGGGAGGUAGAAUUCCACGUGUAGCAGUGAAAUGCGUAGAGAUGUGGAGGAAUACCGAUGGCGAAGGCAGCCUCCUGGGACAACACUGACGUUCAUGCCCGAAAGCGUGGGUAGCAAACAGGAUUAGAUACCCUGGUAGUCCACGCCCUAAACGAUGUCAAUUAGCUGUUGGGCAACUUGAUUGCUUAGUAGCGUAGCUAACGCGUGAAAUUGACCGCCUGGGGAGUACGGUCGCAAGAUUAAAACUCAAAGGAAUUGACGGGGACCCGCACAAGCGGUGGAUGAUGUGGAUUAAUUCGAUGCAACGCGAAGAACCUUACCUGGUCUUGACAUGUACGGAAUCCUCCAGAGACGGAGGAGUGCCUUCGGGAGCCGUAACACAGGUGCUGCAUGGCUGUCGUCAGCUCGUGUCGUGAGAUGUUGGGUUAAGUCCCGCAACGAGCGCAACCCUUGUCAUUAGUUGCCAUCAUUCAGUUGGGCACUCUAAUGAGACUGCCGGUGACAAGCCGGAGGAAGGUGGGGAUGACGUCAAGUCCUCAUGGCCCUUAUGACCAGGGCUUCACACGUCAUACAAUGGUCGGUACAGAGGGUAGCCAAGCCGCGAGGCGGAGCCAAUCUCACAAAACCGAUCGUAGUCCGGAUUGCACUCUGCAACUCGAGUGCAUGAAGUCGGAAUCGCUAGUAAUCGCAGGUCAGCAUACUGCGGUGAAUACGUUCCCGGGUCUUGUACACACCGCCCGUCACACCAUGGGAGUGGGGGAUACCAGAAGUAGGUAGGGUAACCGCAAGGAGUCCGCUUACCACGGUAUGCUUCAUGACUGGGGUGAAGUCGUAACAAGGUAGCCGUAGGGGAACCUGCGGCUGGAUCACCU